AUUGAGUUGCACCCGUGAGGUUUACAAAACAAUCUUUAGGGUUUAUGUGAGGCAGAGGUGAUUCUGUGCAGUUGAGUUCCCUUCAGGGUUUGGAGGCUGCUCUGAACUCUGUUAGCUCUUCUCUCACUAUCUUUUUCCUCAGGGUAAUAGGAAUAGAAUCCAUAUUUGUUUCACUGAAACUCUAGUAUUUAUAGCCUAAUAUUGGUAGCUUAGUGGGCUUUUGAGAGAGGUCCAAGUCUGAGAUUUUUUCUUUUAUUUAUUUAUUUAUUUAUU
rnacentral:lncRNA from 1 species